rnacentral:rRNA from 1 species
AGUGAACGCUGGCGGCGUGCUUAACACAUGCAAGUCGAACGAGAACGGGUUAUAGCUUGCUAUAAUUGUCAGCUAAGUGGCGCACGGGUGAGUAAUGUAUAGGUAAUAUGCCUCUUACUAAGGGAUAACAAAUGGAAACGUUUGCUAAUACCUUAUACUCCUUAUUAACAGAAGUUAAUAAGGGAAAGAUUUAUUGGUAAGAGAUUAGCCUGUAUUGUAUCAGUUAGUUGGUGAGGUAAUGGCUUACCAAGACUAUGACACAUAACUGGUUUGAGAGGAUGAUCAGUCACACUGGAACUGGGACACGGUCCAGACUCCUACGGAAGGCAGCAGUGGGGAAUAUUGCACAAUGGACGAAAGUCUGAUGCAGCAACGCCGCGUGGAGGAUGACACAUUUCGGUGCGUAAACUCCUUUUAUAUGAGAAGAUAAUGACGGUAUUAUAUGGAUAAGCACCGGCUAACUCCGUGCCAGCCGCCGCCGUAA